UGUUGCCGCCGGGCCGUAGUUCCCCAGAUCUCAGAUGUCCAGACCAGAGUGUCGGUGCAGGCGUAGAGCAAGCCGACGCGGCCGGACAGGAAAAUCACGGCGAAGAGCGGCCGCCGAGGCGGGCGCACGGCCACUUAACAUCGGUGUGUGCCUGGAGGAGAACGACCGUUUCGCCGGCGAGCAGAACCGAGGCGAUGGACUUCCCGAUGGAGCCGGUUAGCAGGUGCGAGCUCUCCUUCCCCGGCAGUUUUUCAGCUAAUUUCGUUUGCGCAUCUCGUUUCCCUGUUGCAGCCUUCCAAUAUAUGAGGGGACGGCGGACACAGGGGUGGAUGGCGUGGUAGCAAAGAGGACGGAGAGUGCAGCCAUGUCGGCUCGGUGGAGCCUGAGCAGUCCGUGAUGGGCAUCGUGCAGGCAAUAGCGGGAUGUGGUGAGCAGGAUGCUGACGGACAGGCAGAUUUUGCAGUGUCAACCGGCAAAAUGGAUCCGCAAUCUCCGGGCUGGACAAAAAGGUCGCUGAUCGGAAGAGCCCCCCAGACAGGACACCAUGCGCAUCGAGAAAGAGUGCGCUGGAAAAGUCAUUCCGUGGUUAUACAGAGAAGCUUGGCGAUGAGGUCAUAGAUCCAUGCCUAGGGACAACCUUCGACUCGCUGGGUGAAGCAUAUGAUUUCUACAACUUGUACUCGUGGGAACAUGGUUUUGGGAUUAGGUACGGGAAGAGCCGUCUAAAUUUAGAGAAGACGAAAUGCAUGCAAGAGAUUGUUUGUGGGUGCUCGGGGACUAACAUCAGAAAACACAAAGUCAUGCAGGUGUGAAUGCCCAGCUAUGAUAAGAUUGUUAGCCUUGCUGGCUAGUUCACAGGUAGUGUAGUGUGUGGGAAGUGGUCUGGUUUUGUUAUGCUGCCAAAAGCUUCAUGCACCUUGUAUUGCAUAGUGCUAUUUAUAGGAUACAAGCUAGGUACAACACGUAGAUUUCUAAAGCC